rnacentral:rRNA from 1 species
UGGGGAAUUUUGGACGAUGGGGGCAACCCUGAUCCAGCCAUGCCGCGUGAGUGAAGAAGGCCUUCGGGUUGUAAAGCUCUUUCGGUGGGAACGAAACGGUGGAGACUAAUACUGUCCACUUCUGACGGUACCUACAGAAGAAGCACCGGCUAACUACGUGCCAGCAGCCGCGGUAAUACGUAGGGUGCGAGCGUUAAUCGGAAUUACUGGGCGUAAAAGCGUGCGCAGGCGGCGCGUUAAGACAGGUGUGAAAGCCCCGAGCUUAACUUGGGAAUUGCGCUUGUGACUGGCGUGCUGGAGUGUGGCAGAGGGAGGUGGAAUUCCACGUGUAGCAGUGAAAUGCGUAGAGAUGUGGAGGAACACCGAUGGCGAAGGCAGCCUCCUGGGCCAGCACUGACGCUCAUGCACGAAAGCGUGGGGAGCAAACAGG